rnacentral:tRNA from 11 species
UUUAACCCCAGAGAAGAGCA